ACGGGAGGCAGCAGUGGGGGAUAUUGCACAAUGGGGGAAACCCUGAUGCAGCGACGCCGCGUGAGUGAUGAAGUAUUUCGGUAUGUAAAGCUCUAUCAGCAGGGAAGAAAAUGACGGUACCUGACUAAGAAGCUCCGGCUAAAUACGUGCCAGCAGCCGCGGUAAUACGUAUGGAGCAAGCGUUAUCCGGAUUUACUGGGUGUAAAGGGAGCGUAGACGGUGACGCAAGUCUGAAGUGAAAGGUGUGGGCUCGACCCGCAAACUGCUUUGGAAACUGUGUGACUAGAGUGUCGGAGAGGUAAGUGGAAUUCCUAGUGUAGCGGUGAAAUGCGUAGAUAUUAGGAGGAACACCAGUGGCGAAGGCGGCUUACUGGACGAUAACUGACGUUGAGGCUCGAAAGCGUGGGGAGCAAACAGGAUUAGAUACCCUGGUA
rnacentral:rRNA from 1 species